GAAUCGCGAUAUGUAAUGUGAAUUGCAGAUUUCCAGUGAACCAUCGAAUUUUUGAACGCACCUUGCGCUCUCUGGUAUUCCGGAGAGCAUGCCUGUUUGAGUGUCAU
rnacentral:rRNA from 1 species